GAACCUGCCUCAAAGAGGGGGACAACAGUUGGAAACGACUGCUAAUACCGCAUAAGCCCACGGCUCGGCAUCGAGCAGGGGGAAAAGGAGCAAUCCGCUUUGAGAUGGCCUCGCGUCCGAUUAGCUAGUUGGUGAGGUAACGGCCCACCAAGGCGACGAUCGGUAGCCGGACUGAGAGGUUGAACGGCCACAUUGGGACUGAGACACGGCCCAGACUCCUACGGGAGGCAGCAGUGGGGAAUAUUGCACAAUGGGGGAAACCCUGAUGCAGCGACGCCGCGUGGAGGAAGAAGGUCUUCGGAUUGUAAACUCCUGUUGUUGAGGAAGAUAAUGACGGUACUCAACAAGGAAGUGACGGCUAACUACGUGCCAGCAGCCGCGGUAAAACGUAGGUCACAAGCGUUGUCCGGAAUUACUGGGUGUAAAGGGAGCGCAGGCGGGAGAACAAGUUGGAAGUGAAAUCCAUGGGCUCAACCCAUGAACUGCUUUCAAAACUGUUUUUCUUGAGUAGUGCAGAGGUAGGCGGAAUUCCCGGUGUAGCGGUGGAAUGCGUAGAUAUCGGGAGGAACACCAGUGGCGAAGGCGGCCUACUGGGCACCAACUGACGCUGAGGCUCGAAAGUGUGGGUAGCAAACAGGAUUAGAUACCCUGGUAGUCCACACCGUAAACGAUGAUUACUAGGUG
rnacentral:rRNA from 1 species